rnacentral:rRNA from 1 species
GAUGAACGCUGGCGGCGUGCCUAAUACAUGCAAGUCGAGCGAACGGACGAUAAGCUUGCUUCCUAGAUGUUAGCGGCGGACGGGCGAGUAACACGUGGAUAACCUACCUAUAAGCCUGGGAUAACUUCGUAAAACCGGAGCUAAUACCGGAUAAUCUUUUGAACUGCAUUGUUCAAAAGUGAAAGACGGUAUUGUUGACAUUUAUCGCUGGAUCCGCGCUGCAUUAGCUAGUUGGUAAGGUAACGGCUUACCAAGGCAACGAUGCAUAGCCGACCUGCGAGGGUGAUCGGCCACACUGGAACUGAGACACGGUCCAGACUCCUACGGGAGGCAGCAGUAGGGAAUCUUCCGCAAUGGGCGAAAGCCUGACGGAGCAACGCCGCGUGAGGGAUGAAGGUCUUCGGAUCGUAAAACUCUGUUAUUAGGGAAGAACAUAUGUGUAAGUAACUGUGCACAUCUUGACGGUACCUAAUCAGAAAGCCACGGCUAACUACGUG